UGCAUAGCCAUACUAUCUCAGUCGGCCUUGGAAGAUAACCAGGGUAGUAUUUGGGUGGGAGACCACCUGAGAAUACCAGGUGGCUGUAGCAU
ensembl:rRNA 5S_rRNA 5S ribosomal RNA